rnacentral:rRNA from 1 species
GAUGAACGCUAGCGGCAGGCCUAAUACACGCAAGUCGAACGAGAUUAAGAGGCUUGCUUCUUAUGAAAGUGGCGCACGGGUGCGUAACGCGUAUGCAACCUACCUUAAUCAGGGGGAUAGCCCGAAGAAAUUCGGAUUAAGACCGCAUAAAAACACAGGAUAGCAUUAUCCAAUGUUCAAAUAUUUAUAGGAUUAAGAUGGGCAUGCGUGUCAUUAGCUAGUUGGCGGGGUAACGGCCCACCAAGGCGACGAUGACUAGGGGAUCUGAGAGGAUGACCCCCCACACUGGUACUGAGACACGGACCAGACUCCUACGGGAGGCAGCAGUAAGGAAUAUUGGUCAAUGGAGGGAACUCUGAACCAGCCAUGCCGCGUGCAGGAAGACAGCCCUCUGGGUCGUAAACUGCUUUUAUUCGGGAAUAAACCUUUCUACGUGUAGGAAGCUGAAUGUACCGAAGGAAUAAGGAUCGGCUAACUCCGU